GGGCAGGGUACUGGGCGGAGGCUGGAUAGAGGUGACUGUUUAACAGUCUAAUGGCUUGGAGAUAGAAGCUGUUUCUCAAUCUCUCGGUCCCAGCUUUGACGCACCUGUUCUCUAAUAAUAGAGAGAGAGACUGAUUUCAAGGAUUUGAAAGGGAUGCAUGCGUAGCAGAUGGAGUGUUUUUGUCGCAGUGAGGCGAGGCGAGGCGAAGAGAGCGAGGCCACUGUGAUUGCCUCUUGGACAGCGGUGUCAGCCGAGGAUAAUGCCGCUGCCGCCCUCCCAGGAACAGAACAGGAUCAACACAAUCCAAUUUCUUUUUCUUCAACCAAAAUGGAAUAAUUUUACAGAGAAAACCCUGGUUGUCUGGGCUGGCGGUCGGUAUCUUACCACAGAGAGAGAGAAAAGGAAAUAUAUAUAUAUAUAUACCAGAGUUAAAAAACAACCAUUAUGACAAAAAUUGGGGAAAAGAUAUGGGUCAUCAGCUUCACCCCUACGCCCAACAAAAUACCACCAACUACCACUUAUCACAAACAGAAGGAAUCUUUAAGCAUCAAUCAUUUGACUCCUCGGCUGGCUGUGGCCUGGCAUCUAUAGCCUCAGGAAAAUAAACCAUAGUCAAAAAACAACCAUUAUGGCAAGAAUUGGGAGAGCCAAUUGCCGUUCAAAUUCACCCUUAUGCCCCGCCAAACUAGCAACCACCAGAAACAACACUGGUGUAAUCUAAACAGAAAUGUUUGGCUACAGAGAUGUGUUCAACUUCAGCACCCCACCCGAGAUGUGUUCAACUUCAGCACCCCACCAAACUACCACAAACACACAGGAGGACUUCAAAUAUAUGUUGCUGCCACAGGCUCUGAGGGUUCAGUGGAAUGGGGAUAAAGGCUAGCAAUCUCCCAAAACAGACAGUCAGUGCACUUCAAAACAACAGAUGAAAGAUGAGGCUGAAAGAUUAGAGAUUGAGAGUGUGGGGUGGGGUGGGGUGGGGGGAUUUAUAGGGACUCCAUAAGAACAGCCAGUGGCGGGAGUAGUGUAGCUAGUAGUGGGUAACCUGAUCUGUAGAAUCACAAUGACCCUUCAGCAAAGUGUGCUGCCUGCCCACCUGAGUGAGGGUGACUAGCCAGCUGGCUGUCCUUACCUUUCCAAAGGGUUGAGAGCAUCUUGUAGGAAAAAGGGGGACUAAGAAUGAUUGGAGAGCUGUGACAUCUUGUGACUCCAUAUUCUUGCAUCACGGCCAGGUAGAGGACUCUCCUGGCUGUGACCUGCUUUUCCACUCUCUUCCCCUCUCUUACCACAGAUAUGUGCUGUACCAUGAGCAAUUCAGUCAAUGUCCAGCACGUGCAGAUGUUAUGGAAAGUGUGACUUCAAGUACUACAGUGUGAAGAAUGAAUUGUAAAUGUAGAUGACCACCAUGGCCCAGGGCCUAUGUAUAGUGCAGUAUAUAAGUAUAUCAGACUGUUAAACAGCCACCACUAACAUUGAGUGGCUGCUGCCAACACACUGACUCAACUCCAGCCACUUUAAUAAUGGGAAUUGAUGGGAAAUUAUGUAAAAUAUAUCACUAGCCACUUUAAACAAUGCUACCUAAUAUAAUGUUUACAUACCCUACAUUAUUCAUCUCAUAUGUAUAUACUGUACUCUAUAUCAUCUACUGCAUCUAUGUAAUACAUGUAUCACUAGCCACUUUAACUAUGCCACUUUGUUUACAUACUCAUCUCAUAUGUAUAUACUGCACUCCAUACCAUCUACUGUAUCUUGCCUAUGCCGCUCUGUACCAUCACUCACUCAUAUAUCUUUAUGUACAUAUUCUUUAUCCCCUUACACUUGUGUCUAUAAGGUAGUAGUUUUGGAAUUGUUAGCUAGAUUACUUGUUGGUUAUUACGACAUUGUCGGAACUAGAAGCACAAGCAUUUCGCUACACUCGCAUUAACAUCUGCUAACCAUGUGUAUGUGACAAAUAAAAUUUGAUUUGAUUUAUAUAGUAGAAUGAACAGAGACAGGUGACAGAGAGGAUUACAGAGGGGAGUGAAAGAGGUGAGGGGAACGGUUGCUGUCA
ensembl:lncRNA